rnacentral:rRNA from 1 species
AGUGAACGCUGGCGGUAGGCCUAACACAUGCAAGUCGAACGGCAGCACAGUAAGCGCUUGCUCUUACGGGUGGCGAGUGGCGGACGGGUGAGGAAUACAUCGGAAUCUACUUUUUCGUGGGGGAUAGCGUAGGGAAACUUACGCUAAUACCGCAUACGACCUACGGGUGAAAGCAGGGGAUCUUCGGACCUUGCGCGAUUGAAUGAGCCGAUGUCGGAUUAGCUAGUUGGCGGGGUAAAGGCCCACCAAGGCGACGAUCCGUAGCUGGUCUGAGAGGAUGAUCAGCCACACUGGAACUGAGACACGGUCCAGACUCCUACGGGAGGCAGCAGUGGGGAAUAUUGGACAAUGGGCGCAAGCCUGAUCCAGCCAUACCGCGUGGGUGAAGAAGGCCUUCGGGUUGUAAAGCCCUUUUGUUGGGAAAGAAAAGCAGCAGGUUAAUACCCCGCUGUUCUGACGGUACCCAAAGAAUAAGCACCGGCUAACUUCGUG